rnacentral:misc_RNA from 1 species
UUUUUCCUUUUUUUUUUCUUUUUUAUGCUCGGACUUUGGCAAAAGCCUGGUGAUUUGUUAUGAAUCUCAUAAAAUUGAAUAAAUGAUGAAUUUGGAGAAACUAAAUUGUUGAUUUGUGGUUUGGAGCUGAUUUUGUGCGCAGCAUUGUGUUUUUUUGCUUGUUCUUGCUAAUUUUUUCUGUUUGUUUGCUCAGAAAAUUCGGGAAAAGGGAGUGGGAAUGUAAUUUUUAGAUUUGUCCCCAAUGUUGUUAUGGGUUCCAGUAAAACUAGAAUUUUGCUCAAGCAAUUGAAUUUUCUGCAAGAUGUACAAGCAUUGAGGGACUUAGUUUUUUAUUUUUUAUUUUUUUAUGGGCCCCACACGUGUAAACUAAUUUUUUUUUUCUUUUUGAAAAUUCAUAUUUCAUAAGUUCGAGGAACUCAAAAUCUUGAAUGCAAGUUUCGUUGUUUUGGUAGAAAUCUUGAGUUUUCUUAUAUAUUAUUUUGGUAGAAAUCUUGAUCUUGUUGGCUGGAAUUAAUUGUCAUGUGGGACCUGUGACUUUUAAUUAUGAUUUCCCCUCCUGGUACGAUUAAAUGAUGAAAAUUUCAAGUCCAUGCGUAGUUUUUGAUAGUGAUUGGAAACUUAGUCAUUAAGCAUUGGUACAUUAUGGUCCAUAUAAUUGUUAAAAGAUCAAUUGCGUCUGCAAGACAAAAAAAAAAAAAAAAAAAAUUCGUUCUUACAUUUUCCUUCUUGAAUUGGGUAAUUGGAGAAAUAAAUAUGUUUCUUUCAUGUCUGGCCUGAUGGCUUCUAAACGCCAUCGGCUUUCUGCCGUUUAAUAUAUAGACUCUGUUUGAAUUAUUGUAAUUCCUUUAGUAUCUCUAUGAUUAA